GAUGAACGCUGGCGGCGUGCCUAAUACAUGCAAGUAGAACGCUGAAGGAAGGAGCUUGCUCUUUCCGGAUGAGUUGCGAACGGGUGAGUAACGCGUAGGUAACCUGCCUGGUAGCGGGGGAUAACUAUUGGAAACGAUAGCUAAUACCGCAUAACAGUAGAUGUUGCAUGACAACUAUUUGAAAGGGGCAAUUGCUCCACUACCAGAUGGACCUGCGUUGUAUUAGCUAGUUGGUGAGGUAACGGCUCACCAAGGCGACGAUACAUAGCCGACCUGAGAGGGUGAUCGGCCACACUGGGACUGAGACACGGCCCAGACUCCUACGGGAGGCAGCAGUAGGGAAUCUUCGGCAAUGGACGGAAGUCUGACCGAGCAACGCCGCGUGAGUGAAGAAGGCUUUCGGAUCGUAAAGCUCUGUUGUAAGAGAAGAACGAGUGUGAGAGUGGGAAGUUCACACUGUGACGGUAUCUUACCAGAAAGGGACGGCUAACUACGUG
rnacentral:rRNA from 1 species